rnacentral:rRNA from 1 species
AGGGGCAGCAUGGUCUUAGCUUGCUAAGGCCGAUGGCGACCGGCGCACGGGUGAGUAACACGUAUCCAACCUGCCGUCUACUCUUGGACAGCCUUCUGAAAGGAAGAUUAAUACAAGAUGGCAUCAUGAGUCCGCAUGUUCACAUGAUUAAAGGUAUUCCGGUAGACGAUGGGGAUGCGUUCCAUUAGAUAGUAGGCGGGGUAACGGCCCACCUAGUCUUCGAUGGAUAGGGGUUCUGAGAGGAAGGUCCCCCACAUUGGAACUGAGACACGGUCCAAACUCCUACGGGAGGCAGCAGUGAGGAAUAUUGGUCAAUGGGCGAGAGCCUGAACCAGCCAAGUAGCGUGAAGGAUGACUGCCCUAUGGGUUGUAAACUUCUUUUAUAAAGGAAUAAAGUCGGGUAUGGAUACCCGUUUGCAUGUACUUUAUGAAUAAGGAUCGGCUAACUCCGUGCCAGCAGCCGCGGUAAUACGGAGGAUCCGAGCGUUAUCCGGAUUUAUUGGGUUUAAAGGGAGCGUAGAUGGAUGUUUAAGUCAGUUGUGAAAGUUUGCGGCUCAACCGUAAAAUUGCAGUUGAUACUGGAUAUCUUGAGUGCAGUUGAGGCAGGCGGAAUUCGUGGUGUAGCGGUGAAAUGCUUAGAUAUCACGAAGAACUCCGAUUGCGAAGGCAGCCUGCUAAGCU